rnacentral:rRNA from 1 species
GACGAACGCUGGCGGCGUGCCUAAUACAUGCAAGUAGAACGCUGAGGAGAGGAGCUUGCUCUUCUUGGAUGAGUUGCGAACGGGUGAGUAACGCGUAGGUAACCUGCCUUGUAGCGGGGGAUAACUAUUGGAAACGAUAGCUAAUACCGCAUAACAAUGGAUGACACAUGUCAUUUAUUUGAAAGGGGCAAUUGCUCCACUACAAGAUGGACCUGCGUUGUAUUAGCUAGUAGGUGAGGUAAUGGCUCACCUAGGCGACGAUACAUAGCCGACCUGAGAGGGUGAUCGGCCACACUGGGACUGAGACACGGCCCAGACUCCUACGGGAGGCAGCAGUAGGGAAUCUUCGGCAAUGGGGGCAACCCUGACCGAGCAACGCCGCGUGAGUGAAGAAGGUUUUCGGAUCGUAAAGCUCUGUUGUAAGUCAAGAACGGGUGUGAGAGUGGAAAGUUCACACUGUGACGGUAGCUUACCAGAAAGAGACGGCUAACUACGUG